UUCCGUAGGUGAACCUGCGGAAGGAUCAUUCACACGCAUCCAACUUGAAUUCAUUGUGAACCAUCUUCUGUGAGUUGUGCUCUUGGCUGGAGACAACUUGUCUACAACCUUGUGCAGAAUCUCGCGGGUAGUUCGGGUGAUAUUGGACCGUCUUCCUCUAUUGUCUGGCUACCAUUGUUGUCUGACCAAUGUCUUGCAUGAUGACCUAUCUUUUUAAGAUGUGGGUGACCACAUGUUUGAUUCACAUACAACUUUCAGCGACGGAUGUCUCGGCUCGAACAACGAUGAAGGGCGCAGCGAAGUGUGAUAAGCAUUGUGAAUUGCAGAAUUCCGUGAACCAAUAGGGAUUUGAACGUAUACUGCGCUUUCGGGAUAUCCCUGAAAGCAUGCCUGCUUCAGUGUCAAUAUUCUUUCAUGCCACUGUCAUCUUGUCAUGUGCUUUGCACAUGCAACUGACAGCAGUGUGUGUCUGUGCAUUAAGGUGCUCUUCCUGCCCCUGAUGCAUUGAGUCCAUGGGUUCUGUGCUCUGUCAGCAACUUGAUAAACACCUUGUGCUUUGUGUGUAACCUGUUGCUUUGUCUGUUGCACUGAUAACCUGUCCUCCUGUCUGCCACUUCAUUUGUGGCUUCUUUCCAUGACAUGAAGUUAGGUAAGCAAACCCGCUGAAUUUAAGCAUAUCAA
rnacentral:rRNA from 1 species